rnacentral:sRNA from 1 species
GGAAGUAAAAGUCGUAACAAGGUUUCCGUAGGUGAACCUGCGGAAGGAUCAUUCAUAAUAAGUGUUUUAUGGCACUUUUUAAAUCCAUAUCCACCUUGUGUGCAAUGUCAGUCGAUCUUCUUCAUGGAGAUCGACCAAACAUCAACCUUUAUUUUUUAACUCUUUGUCUGAAAAAUAUUAUGAAUAAACAAUUCAAAAUACAACUUUCAACAACGGAUCUCUUGGCUCUCGCAUCGAUGAAGAACGCAGCGAAAUGCGAUACGUAAUGUGAAUUGCAGAAUUCAGUGAAUCAUCGAAUCUUUGAACGCAUAUUGCGCUCUUUGGUAUUCCGAAGAGCAUGCUUGUUUGAGUAUCAGUAAACACCUCAAAGCUUUUGGAUUUUUUAAUCGAAAAGCUUUGGACCUGAGCAAUCCCAACACCAAUCUUUUUGAGAUCGGUGGCGGGUUGCUUGAAAUGCAGGUGCAGCUGGACAUUCUCCUGAGCUAAAAGCAUAUUCAUUUAGUCCCGUCAAACGGAUUAUUACUUUUGCUGCAGCUAACAUAAAGGGAGUUUGACCGUAUUGGCUGACUGAUGCAGGAUUUCACAAGGGUCGGCAACGAUUCUUGUUAAACUCGAUCUCAAAUCAAGUAAGACUACCCGCUGAACUUAAGCAUAUCAAUAAGCGGAGGAAAAGAAACUAACAAGGAUUCCCCUAGUAACGGCGAGUGAAGCGGGAUGAGCUCAAAUUUAAAAUCUGGCUGGUUUACUAGUCCGAAUUGUAGUUUAUAGAAGCGUUUUCGGUGGCAGCCUGGGUAUAAAUCCUUUGGAAUAGGGUAUCAUAGAGGGUGAGAAUCCCGUCUUUGACUCAGUGCAUGCUACUAUGUGAUACGUUUUCAAAGAGUC